AAUCCCCCAUUUUUCACACCGUCGUCCCAAAAUGAGUACACCAUACAUUUCCAAACAUUCAGAACCCUAAUCUUCCAGCCACCAUCGUCGUUCUUCUCCAAUCGAUGAACUAAUCAGUUCCAGUACAUUAUGUAGAGAUGUUCUUCUGUUGGACUUAAAUAGUGAUGCCAGAGAUUCUGAUGAAGAUAAUGAUCAACAUGUUUUUGAAGGAUAUGCAGUUUAAUGAUUAUGUCAGUUGGCUUAGAUUUGUGUUUCCACCUUCGAUUUCUGAGUGAUGAAGAAGCAGGGUGUGAAGGGGCAAAUGGCUUGGGGCAAUUCAGCGGACGCUUCUUUGACAAUGAACCACCAAGGAAGACACUUUUUGUACGAUAAUAAUUAAGUGGAGCUUGAAAAGCGAAGAAAGGGGACCAGUACAGCUUGGGUUCAAUUAACAUCAUAGUGAGGACUUCUAACUUUGGUGAGAUGCGUCAAGAACUGAUAUGGAUCCCAAAGAGUCAUCAACUGGAUGGGCCUGCACCAUAUGCUGCUAGAGAUAAUGAUAAUUUCAUAUCUUUUGUAGCUGAAUUUUUGAUAAAGACCAAGCUGCUGCACACUUGAUGGUUAUCAUUGAUUCAUUUUUAGAUUAUUGCAGGUUUUAUUAUUUACUAGGGAGGGGGAUAGAAGGUUGUGAUCUCAGCUUCAAGUGUAAAUGCUCUCAUGUUUGUCAUGGGUGUAAAUGAAAGGUUACAAAUAUGAUACAAGUAUUGUGUCUAUGCUAGGUGCAACACUAAUUCUCUUGCUCUAUUAGCAAAGGUUAGAUCCAUUAGCAAAGGUUGGAUUUGUCACUUGCAGCAAAGGUGGGAAAUUUUAAGAUUUGGAAUAUAUUGUCAAAACUUUAAAUUUAAACUUGAGAGCUAAAGAAUGAAGCCCUUAACAUGUUUUGCUUACAAAAUAUAAGUGACAAUGUAGAACCAUAACACUUAAAACCGAAUAACAUGUAAUAGUUUUUAUAACAUUUUGCACCUUGCAUGUGCUUGGCCAGAGAGUUACGUGUUUCUUAAGUUCUUUUUCAAGUACUGUUUUUGAAGAAAUGCUUUAUUUUCAAAAAGAAAAAAACAAACAGGGAUAUUGUCAUUCUUAACUGUCAACUGUUGUAACUCAAUCAAACAUAUAGCUGCUUUUUGUUUAAAAAAUACAAAUUUUGUUAAAUAGCUGCUUUGUUGUUUCUGAUUGUAGGUUACUCUUUUCUGACAAUUACUAUUGAUGGAAGCAAACAACUCAAAUACCAUGUCAUACUGCCAGUGGUUUUUGCAUGUCUGGUGAUGCGACAAAGAGGCUUUGAACACUUGUUUGGCAUGCAAAACGUUUUACAGUGAUUAAGCUUUGGGGUUUCCACCUUCCUUCUGGUUUUUAUGGCAGGUGAUGAACUGCAAUUUUUUUAUAUUCUUAUAGUGUUGUUGGAACUCAUUCCCAUACAGCCAUGUUAGAUAGAUUAGGAGUAGCGAGUUGCGGAGUAGGAGGAUUUGAAGCAGAGCCAACAAUGCGUGGACAGGUGAGGGCAUGAGUAGCUUGUCAUUGGCUAAUAGAUCAUCUAUUACGAAUUACGUGCAACGAUGGGCUUCUUUCUUGUAGAUCAUGUUACACUGCAGUACCUUAAGUUAACAGAACGAAGUGAUGACACUGUAAGCUUUCUUCUUUGUAUUCUAAAAUAAGUUAACUUUUAGUUAAUAAAAUUCAGGAUGUGUUAUCCGCCACGAAGUUUGAAGAAUUGUCAAAGAUGUUAAUAGAAAGGUAUAUGGGAAUUAUACAGUAAAAUGAUUACAACUGAGCAUUCAAUUUCCCCAGUUUUGAUUAUGUAUCUGAUUAGAUUUGGAAUAUAUUUGUUGUAUCAUUAAUUAUGUAGUGCAUGGUUUGAUAAUAUUGACAAUAAGAAGUGUAGGAGGCUAUAUCACUCUUGAAUGCUAAGAUAAUUCGUGAAUGGCUAAAGUUAUUAUGGAUUUCUCACAUCAUGCAACCUAUUAGCUGAGAUAUUCCUUCAUGGGGAAGGCCAUUGGUGGAUGAGCAUUUAAAUUUCUAUAUCUAAUAAAAGAAAAGCUUGGCACUUGUCUGAGACAAGGUAGAUGAAAUGGGCAAGUAGCUGGAGCAAAUUUUCUUUUAAAGGAGUUGGUUCUUCUUCACAAGGAGUGAUGGAUGUCCGUUGUGGCUAUGGAAUUUGUUGCCAUGGAGAGGAGUUUCAAGUACAGAUCGAUGAAUUAAAAUUUUAUUUAAUCUACUUAAUUAGGGGGCUGAGCUUCCCCUUUUCGGUUGCAAGAAAAUAUUCUACGGAAAGGGUAUUAGGCUUAUUCGAUCUGACUGGCAGGUAAAACAUUCUUGCUUUAUGCAUUUGUGGUUUAUAAUUUUCUUACAUUUUCGUCGUUGUUCUAAUUUAUUUUGACUGCAAGCCUUUAAUUAUUAAUUGACUGGGGCAGGAAAUGGAUUAAAAACUAACAGUUUCUAUUAGGAAAUAUGGUUCUGGGAGUUUUUUUUAGUUUAGAUAGCAGUUGUUUGAUUACAUUACUGACUUUUAAUUCCUGAGGAAACAAGCAUAUAGGAGAGGUUGGCUGGAGCCGGAAUGCGAACAACAUCAACAAUCGAAUGAGGUUGUCUUUGAUUUUAUGAACAAAAGUUCAAAUAUUAUGAUUGUUGUCUGAUCAUAACCCUGUAUGAAUUUCUACCAUUGCUAAUCACGCUUCCUACUCGAAUUGAUACAGUUCAAUCAAAUAUAUAAUGUGUUGAUUAUAGUUAGAUUACAUUGUCGUUUAUAAGUAGAUCCCAUUAUACUCAUGACAAAGUUAAAUAAAAUAUAUAAUGUGUUGAUUAUAGUUUGAUUACAUUGUUCUUUAUAAGUAGAUCCCAUUAAAAUGUUAACUAAAAUUUGUAGCAUUGAAAUUUAUCCUCAUCUGCAUGUGUAUUGCCUGCGUCCGUAUGGUCCUGGUGAGUCAGCCCUUUUGGUAAUUCACUUUCUAAUGAUGCUUCAGUUAGUUAUGAAGAUAAGAAAUUUGUUUCAACAUCAGCAGGCAUCAGAUCACAAGUAGUUUAGAGAGUGCUAUUGAAAACCUUGAUGAGGUGGAAAUAUUGUUGAAGGCUUAUGUUAUCGUCAUUGUCACUGAUAACACACUUAAUAAGCUUACAAUGGUAUAUUAAAUUUAAUAAAGGUGAUAAAUUCAACAUAUUAAUUUAAAAAAGGGUUGUUUUGAAUCAAGUUUUUGAGGUUUUUUUUUGCGAACUUGAUGAUUACUAAAGCAUGAGUUUUUGCUUCUAGAACUGUGAUGUUUAAAUUUAGGGUUUAAGUAUGUUAGUGAAGUUGUUAAUUGAUUACGUUUGAUGUAAAGAUUGUGAAUUUCUAUUAUUAAUAUAGUUGGAAACAUAAAAAAUUGCAAUGUCAUAUUUUAUUGGGAUAAUUGGGAUUUAAAAUUGGUUUUUGCGAGCUGUGACCAAGCUCGGAGAUGAUUGUACUAUUAUUUUUUCAUAACAGAUGAAACAGAUCGGACAACAAGUUGAUCUAUGUUAAUAAUAGGAACAAUAUAGAAUCCAAAAAUGUAGGGAACAAGAUUACAAAAGAUGUACCCGGCCGUCUGAAGAGAAACAAGUUGUUUUUGAUGUUGCAGAAGCUUCCUGUGCUACGUCUGCCGUUGCAGCUGCUGAGGCAU